UGUGCCAUCUAGAAAGUAGCUUUGUUUUCCAUCCCAAACUGUCAAAAGUCUCUCUUCACCUAUAGAUCAAUCGCUCUUCUCUCUCCUUUUCUUUUUCUUCAUUCAUAUAAACCACAUAUCAUCUCCUCCAUAUCUUAACAAUUUUAUAUCAAACCCUAAUUAAAAUCGGGAAAGAGAGCUAGAGAGAGAAGAUGGGAAAAAGGGAUGAGAGAAGAUGGGAAGAGGGAAGAUAUAAAGAUAAAGAGAAUAGAGAACGCAAACAACAGAGUGGUGACCUUCUCAAAGAGGAGGAAUGGAUUGGUGAAGAAGGCGAAAGAGAUCACAGUUCUUUGUGAUGCGAAAGUUGCUCUCAUAAUCUUUGCAAGUAAUGGUAAGAUGACUGAUUAUUGUUGCCCUUCCAUGGAUCUUGGUGCUAUGAUGGACCAAUACAAGAAAUUAUCUGGCAAGAAACUAUGAGAUGCUAAGCCUGAGAUACAUUUUAUCCUUCUAGUUAGCCGUCAAGGAAAAGUUAGGCUCACCAAAUGGUAUUCUCUUUAUACGCGCAGAAGGAAAUAUCCAAGGUUAUACCUUAGCUAAGAGGAGUGAUUCUUAAUCGAGGUCCCAAGCUCUGCAAUUUUGUUGAGCGGAGAGGCUACAAAGUUGUUUACAAAAUAUACGCGAGCCUCUACUUAUGUAUGUGUAUUGAUCAGGAGGAUAACGAGUUAGAGGUCCUCGAGAUCAUUCAUCACUACGUUGAGAUUCUCGACCGUUACUUCGGAAAUGUGAGUCAGUUAAACAAAGCACCCACCUUGGCACAACCUCUUGCCACGUUUCUCGACAUUGUGCAUACUCUUGCGAGCAUCUUUGAGCACACUGAUUCUCACCAUUGUCUCAAAGAAAAAAAAACUCAAAACCUCUUAGAUUGGUAGCUCGAGCGGCAGUGACUCUAUAGUUUAGCUUUAUUUGUUUGUUUACAAUGCAACACUUUAUUAUAAUAUUUUUAAAAAUCCAUUUGCGUCACUAGUCAAAUGCUUA